rnacentral:rRNA from 1 species
GGAUGCGAUCAUACCAGCACUAAUACACUGGAUCCCAUUAGAACUCUGCAGUUAAGCGUGCUUGCGUGAGAGUAGUACUAGGAUGGGUGACCUCCCGGGAAGUCCUCGUGUUUCAUCCC